UACGUAGGUGGCAAGCGUUGUCCGGAUUUACUGGGCGUAAAGAGCGCGCAGGCGGUUAUUCAAGUCGAAUGUGAAAGCCCCCGGCUUAACUGGGGAGGGUCAUUCGAUACUGUUUAACUUGAAGGCAGGAGAGGGUAGUGGAAUUCCUGGUGUAGCGGUGAAAUGCGCAGAUAUCAGGAAGAACACCAAUGGCGAAAGCAGCUUUCUGGGACGGUACUGACGCUGAGACGCGAAAGCGUGGGGAGCGAACAGG
rnacentral:rRNA from 1 species